GAUGAAGAACGUAGUGAAAUGCGAUAAGUAAUGUGAAUUGCAGAAUUCAGUGAAUCAUCGAAUCUUUGAACGCACAUUGCGCCCCUUGGUAUUCCGAGGGGCAUGCCUGUUCGAGCGUCAUUUCAACCCUCAAGCACAGCUUGGUCUUGGGCUUCGCCGCUAACCCGGCGGGUCUUAAAAUCAGUGGCGGUGCCGUCGGGCCCUGAGCCCAGUAAUCUCUCUCGCUAUAGGGUCCCGGCGGAUGCUGGCCAGUAACCCCCAAUUUUCUAUGGUUGACCUCGGAUCAGGUAGGGAUACCCGCUGAACUUAAGCAUAUCAAUAAGCGGAGAA
rnacentral:misc_RNA from 1 species